GGGAGUAUAGCUUAAUAGGCAGAGCGCCUAUCUCAUAAGUAGGUAGAUGGAGGUUCAAGUCCUUCUGCUCCCACAA
rnacentral:tRNA from 1 species